rnacentral:tRNA from 1 species
GCGAGCAUGCUGGAACUGGCAGACAGGUACGUUUGAGGGGCGUAUGUCUAUGACGUGUGGGUUCAAGUCCCACUGCUCGCACCA